CUUCAUGGCGGCUGUAUGUGAGGGUGCACUCGUGCACGCCGGGCUUCUCUGCCCUCGGUCUGUCAACCCAUAUACAGCCGCCACCCGC
rnacentral:antisense_RNA from 1 species